GAAAAUUAAUAUAGGCAUAUGAUAGCUUCAAGGAAAAUGACAUUUGCUGAGAUUUUACUCAACUUCUGGAAGGAUGCAAGUAAAAAAAACCCUCUUUGCUUUUAAACCCCCGGACUCUCUCCUCCAAAGCUGACUCCAGCAGCCCUGCAUGGAGCAAUCUAUUCUAUAUCUCAUUCGUUGGUUUGUCCUUUGCUGGAGGUAUAUUUUACACAAGAAGAGGGAUGCAUGAACUAACACCUUAGCUGCUGUGGACACUUAAGAAACUACAACUUCCUACCACUGAGCUCUGUGUAAUGUUUUAAUUGUCA